AGAGAGAGAGAGAGAGGGCAGGCAGGCAACCAGUGACGUCAUAGGACAAUAGGAGCAUCUGGGGCGAUCAGCUGUUGUCUGAUCAGCUGUUUCCGGCCCCUUUCCUCGCCUCUCCUCUCCCUGCCGCACGUCACAGCUGCCAUGCACGUGCUGCACACCACGGGAAGGAGCACAGAUGAGUCUCACUCACCACCUCAGCUCAAUACUCACUUACACAACGCAACUCCUCACACACCAACACACCAGCACUGCACCACCAUACCCUCACCACCCCACCCACACUUGUCUCUCAUUCCCAGCGGUGUAAGGAAAGUGUAGGUGACCAGAAGAGCGUAAGGAGGCUUCACGUGCGCUGCAGAGAGAGAGAGAGAGAGAGAGAGAGAGAGAGAGAGAGAGAGAGAGAGAGAGAGAGAGAGAGAGAGAGAGAGAGAGAGAGAGAGAU